rnacentral:rRNA from 1 species
UACGGAGGAUGCAAGCGUUAUCCGGAUUUAUUGGGUUUAAAGGGUGCGCAGGCGGGAGAUUAAGUCGGCGGUGAAAUUUUGCAGCUCAACUGUAAAAGUGCCUUCGAAACUGGUUUCCUUGAGUGUAGAUGAAGUAGGCGGAAUUUGUGGUGUAGCGGUGAAAUGCAUAGAUAUCACGAGGAACUCCGAUUGCGCAGGCAGCUUACUAAACUAUAACUGACGCUCAGGCACGAAGGCGUGGGGAUCAAACAGGAUUAGAUACCCGU